CUCAGCUGCAACCAGCCUCCUUCCCUGUUUCAUAGUGUCUGGCCAGCCAGUGGUCUUUCUUAAAUCUCUGAGGAUUCUUCAGAGCAGGGUGGUAUGAUAGGUGAGUGCAGGGAUGAGGGGAGAACCAAAGGAGAAGGGGAGAACCUGCUUCACUGCUUUCUCCCCUUAUUUCCUUCACUCUUUUCCAGCCCCCACCUCCCUGGGUUGCUAUGCAGUUUCUAUGGCAGCAGCAUCCUCAGACUCAACUUUCACCCAUCAUUUAGAGCCAAUUAAGCCCGAGCGGGAAGCAGCAACAACUCUUCUCUCAGCUGUGGGAUUGGUGUGUAGAGGACACAUCACACAAGCAGCCAUAUUGAAGACCCCUUGGGGGGAACCCCAAUAUCACAGAAGAUCCUUCAAGACCUCAGCAAUUGCCUCUGCAUCUCUUCUGACUUUCUCGUCAUUCUCUCUCUCUCUCUCUCUCUCUCUCUCUCUCUCUCUCUCUCUCUCUCUCUCUCUCUCUCUCUCUCUCUCUCUCUCUCUCUCUCUCUCUCCUGUUUGCCCCUCUAUCUCUAUUUCUCAUUCCCUCUUUCUCCCUCUUUCUCUUUCCCUGUCUUUCAGUUCAUUUGUUUCUUUGCUCCCCCACCCCAUACGUCUCUUCCAUCCUAUUUUUAUUUCUGAUCCACCAGAGGAGAAAAAUAGUAAAAAAAAAUGCCAAUUGCUCAGUUAUUGGAACUAUGGAAAAAGAUCGAGGUGGAGCCCAUGGAAAUAGAG
rnacentral:lncRNA from 1 species